rnacentral:tRNA from 1 species
GAGGGUAUAGCUCAGUGGUAGAGUGUGUGCUUAGCAUGCACGAGGUCCUGGGUUCAACCCCCAGCACCUCCU